rnacentral:rRNA from 1 species
AACGAACGCUGGCGGCAGGCCUAACACAUGCAAGUCGAACGCUCCAGCAAUGGAGAGUGGCAGACGGGUGAGUAACGCGUGGGAACCUACCCUACGGUUCGGAAUAGCCCAGGGAAACUUGGGGUAAUACCGGAUACGCCUUACGGGAAGAUUAUCGCCGUGGAUGGCCCGCGUCGGAUUAGCUAGUUGGUGAGGUAACGGCUCACCAAGGCGACGAUCCGUAGCUGGUCUGAGAGGANGAUCAGCCACACUGGGACUGAGACACGGCCCAGACUCCUACGGGAGGCAGCAGUGGGGAAUAUUGGACAAUGGGCGCAAGCCUGAUCCAGCCAUGCCGCGUG